ACUUAAUGCAACUGAUACCUAAAGAGAGUGAAUACCGGUAUGACACAAAUUUCGUUUAACGCAGGAUAAUACUAGUUGGUUGAAGAUGUAUUGGAAGCUACAGAAGUAUACAGAGAGGACCAGGAAUCUUUCCUGAAACCCUGUGCGGAGCCUCCUGCCUGCUGCAGCUUCGCUCUGUUGCAGAGGUCAGCAUGAAAUCUUCACAUCCAGCUUCUUCACAUCCAUCCCAUUCCUCUUCCAUUCUCCAUCCUUCCCUUGAAGAUGCUUCAGGUGUUAUUCCAUGGAUUUGUCAGAAGACUUGACAAAGUUCCAAAAGCCUGGUGGCACUACACCGGGGAACAAAAUGGAUGAAAAUGUGACUGGGUUCAACAAAGGAAAAUGAAUGGAGACAGGAAAGACACAGCAACAAAUACAUCUUCAGAAAAGAUUUUUGUGGAAGGCUCAAGUGAAGUUAAAAACACAGAGGACCAGUGAAAAAGCUGAGUUGCUUGUAUUUUGAUUUUGAAGAUUUAAGGUUGUGUUUAGCAGUGCUUUGCAAAAUAGCAUCACUGUUGCUAAAUGCUACUCGUAAUAUUGCUUUCAUGAUUUUAAAACAAUGUAUUUUAUGACUGAAAAGGACAAAUAGAGAAUAAUCAUCACACAUA